UACGUAGGGGGCGAGCGUUGUCCGAAGUUACUGGGCGUAAAGCGCACGUAGGUGGCAGAGUAAGUUACAUCUGAAAUACAGCAGCUUAACUGCUGAGAGUGGUGUAAUACUGCUUUGCUUGAGGCAAGCAGAAGAGUGUGGAACUCCGAGUGUAGCGGUGGAAUGCGUAGAGAUUCGGAAGAACACCCAUGGCGAAGGCAGCACUCUGGGCUUGAGAGAGAAUAGAGUAACUCGAAAGAGUCAAAACUAUUUACCUGACACUGAGGAGCGAAAGCCAGGGGAGCGAACGGG
rnacentral:rRNA from 1 species